rnacentral:misc_RNA from 1 species
AGGUGAACCUGCGGAAGGAUCAUUCAUAAUAAGUGUUUUAUGGCACUUUUUAAAUCCAUAUCCACCUUGUGUGCAAUGUCAGUCGAUCUUCUUCAUGGAGAUCGGCCAAACAUCAACCUUAUUUUUUAACUCUUUGUCUGAAAAAUAUUAUGAAUAAACAAUUCAAAAUACAACUUACAACAACGGAUCUCUUGGCUCUCG